CUAUAUGUCUGGGUAUCUUUGUUUCUUUACAAAGUUGUGUUCACCAAGUCACAACAAAUUUAUACCCCAUUUUUCUCAAACUGGUAAAGAUUGUCUCUAGCAAACUAACAGUAUUACUGUGUACCCUUUUAGUGUUAUACUCCGAGGGUGGUCAACGGGGCCUUACCGUCUCCCGCCAUUGAUCCACACAACUAAAUGUUUUAAAGUUACUGAACUGAAAACUUUUGAAAAGAAUACUUAGAACAAGAUGUCGAGAUCAUUGUCGUUGCAUUCAGCAUUCGUAGGUGCACCAUAUGCGAAAAUGAGUCGACCAAAGGUAGAUUUGAGUCGAAACAAACUAGGUCUGCUCGAUAGUAUAUGGUUAUGACAAGCCAUCGAGCAGCUGCAGAUAACCUGACCAUUUUCGCAUAUGGUGCUCCUACGAGCAGCUGUAGCAAACAACUUCGAAUUACCAUGCUUUAGAUAACCUGACCACUAACCACCUUAAAUGACAAGCAAUCAACAACUAAGGUUCAAGUAGGUCCGAAAUUCCAGAACAUUGCACACGCAAAAGGCAUAUUCAGAUAAACCUAAGGCUCUCAACAUAGCCGCAGCAAGUCGGACAUAAGGAUUUCAAUAGUCAAAGCAUCAACUUAGAGCUUGAGUCACCAUGCAUCAGCAUCAGCAGCAGCAAAAGACACCACCACCAUCCAUGCAUCUCACCAGGUCCCCUAGAAGAACAAGAUAAACAAGUGCACGUCAUUCAUUAGUAUAACGUGUCGUUGCAAAUCUGAGUCAAGUAGUCUUCCAUCUGAUUCUAAAUUGUUUCAAUACAAGGCUAAUUCAAAAGCUAGCAUUUGCCACAGUCCCAAAGGUGCCAUCCAGAUCUUGGAACCACUGAAUUGCCACAAAAAGGUAAAGUGACUAAAUGAUCUCAGGUGCAUUCUUGAAAGUUUGAGAUGCAAGGUUAUAAAGAACUAGAUGGCCAACAGGAUCAACAUUUAUACUAUCCUAACAAAGGUGCAGGUCCAUGUCCAGUUAUGCAAACCAUCCCCCUUCUGAAUUUAUAUAUAAUCUUCAGUCCACGGCGUUACCUAUUAUGCUUUGACAACAGAUGCAGACUCUGUUGGGCCACCCCCAGCCUUCACAUCACUUCCUUCAGAUCCUUGG
rnacentral:lncRNA from 1 species